rnacentral:rRNA from 1 species
UACGAAGGGGGGCUAGCGUUGCUCGGAAUCACUGGGCGUAAAGGGUGCGUAGGCGGGUCUUUAAGUCAGGGGUGAAAUCCUGGAGCUCAACUCCAGAACUGCCUUUGAUACUGAAGAUCUUGAGUUCGGGAGAGGUGAGUGGAACUGCGAGUGUAGAGGUGAAAUUCGUAGAUAUUCGCAAGGACACCAGUGGCGAAGGCGGCUCACUGGCCCGAUACUGACGCUGAUGCACGAAAGCGUGGGGAGCAAACAGG